AGUUGAACGGGAUUUGUAUGGUGCUUGCACCAUGUAAUGAGAGUAGCGCACUGGUGAGUAACACGUGGGAACAUACCUUGAAGUGGGGGACAACAGUUGGAAACGACUGCUAAUACCGCAUAAUCCCUGAGGGGAAAAGAUUUAUCGCUUUAAGAUUGGCCCGCGGAAGAUUAGGUAGUUGGUGGGGUAAAGGCCUACCAAGCCGACGAUCUAUAGCUGGUCUGAGAGGACGAACAGCCACAUUGGAACUGAGACACGGUCCAGACUCCUACGGGAGGCAGCAGUGAGGAAUAUUGGGCAAUGGAGGAAACUCUGACCCAGCCAUGCCGCGUGAGUGAAGAAGGUUUUCGAAUUGUAAAGCUCUUUCGGAUGGGACGAUGAUGACGGUACCAUCUAAAGAAGCCCCGGCAAACUUCGUGCCAGCAGCCGCGGUAAUACGAAGGGGGCAAGCGUUGUUCGGAAUUACUGGGCGUAAAGGGUGUGUAGGCGGAUUUGUAAGAUAGUGGUGAAAUACCUGAGCUCAACUUAGGAAUUGCCAUUAUAACUAUAGAUCUGGAGUGACAGAGAGGAUAUUGGAAUACCCAGUGUAGAGGUGAAAUUCGUAGAUAUUGGGUAGAACACCAGUGGCGAAGGCGAGUAUCUGGCUGUCAACUGACGCUGAGGCACGAAAGCAUGGGGAUCAAACAGGAUUAGAUACCCUGGUAGUCCAUGCUGUAAACGAUGAAUGCUAGUUGUCGGCAAAAGCCGGUGACGCAGUUAACGCGAUAAGCAUUCCGCCUGGGGAGUACGGUCGCAAGAUUAAAACUCAAAGGAAUUGACGGGGACCCGCACAAG
rnacentral:rRNA from 1 species